UCCAGCCCCAAUAGCGUAUAUUAAAGUUGUUGCGGUUAAAAAGCUCGUAGUUGGAUUUCAGCCGAGGACGACCGGUCCUGCUUCUGUAGGAACCUGGUUUGGCCGAGGCAUUUCUUGGUGCACGUGUUGGCCCUUGAUCGCGCUACACGGACUCCAGGGCUUUUACUUUGAGGAAAUUAGAGUGUUUCAAGCAGGCAUCUGCCUUGAAUACAUUAGCAUGGAAUAAUAGGAUAGGACUACGGUCCUAUUUUGUUGGUUUCUGGGACUGCAGUAAUGAUUAAUAGGGAUAGUCGGGGGCAUUCGUACUUAACAGUCAGAGGUGGAAUUCUUGGAUUUGUUAAAGACGAACUACUGCGAAAGCAUUUGCCAAGGAUGUUUUCAUUGAUCAAGAACGAAAGUUAGGGGAUCGAAGACGAUUAGAUACCGUCCUAGUCUUAACCAUAAACCAUGCCGACUAGGGAUUGGAGGUCGUUACUUUGUGAUGCCUUCAGCACCUCGUGAGAAAUCAAAGUCUAUGGGUUCCGGGGGGAGUAUGGUCGCAAGGCUGAAACUUAAAGGAAUUGACGGAAGGGCACCACCAGGAGUGGAGCCUGCGGCUUAAUUUGACUCAACACGGGAAACCUCACCAGGUCCAGACAUAGUAAGGAUUGACAGAUUGAUAGCUCUUUCUUGAUUCUUUGGGUGGUGGUGCAUGGCCGUUCUUAGUUGGUGGAGUGAUCUGUCUGGUUAAUUCCGUUAACGAACGAGACCUUAGCCUGCUAAAUAGUCACCUCUUAGCCCUGCUAAGAUGGUCGGCUUCUUAGAGGGACUUUGUGUGUUUAAUGCAAGGAAGUUUGAGGCAAUAAC
rnacentral:rRNA from 1 species